rnacentral:rRNA from 1 species
UACGGGGGGGGCAAGCGUUGUUCGGAAUUACUGGGCGUAAAGGGCUCGUAGGCGGCCAACUAAGUCAGACGUGAAAUCCCCAGGCUCAACCUGGGAACUGCGUCUGAUACUGGAUGGCUUGAAUCCGGGAGAGGGAUGCAGAAUUCCAGGUGUAGCGGUGAAAUGCGUAGAUAUCUGGAGGAAUACCGGUGGCGAAGGCGGCAUCCUGGACCAAUAUUGACGCUGAGGAGCGAAAGCCAGGGGAGCAAACGGG